rnacentral:rRNA from 1 species
AUUCGGCAUGGACGAGUCUGACGGAGCACGCCGCGUGAACGAUGAAGGCCUUCGGGUCGUAAAGUUCUGUUGUUAGGGAAGAACAAGUACCGGAGUAACUGCCGGUACCUUGACGGUACCUAACCAGAAAGCCACGGCUAACUACGUG